rnacentral:rRNA from 1 species
GUGGCGAACGGGUGAGUAAUAUAUCGGAACGUACCAUUCAGUGGGGGAUAACGUAGCGAAAGUUACGCUAAUACCGCAUAUUCUGUGAGCAGGAAAGCAGGGGAUCGCAAGACCUUGCGCUGAUUGAGCGGCCGAUAUCAGAUUAGCUUGUUGGUGAGGUAAAAGCUCACCAAGGCGACGAUCUGUAGCGGGUCUGAGAGGAUGAUCCGCCACACUGGAACUGAGACACGGUCCAGACUCCUACGGGAGGCAGCAGUGGGGAAUUUUGGACAAUGGGGGCAACCCUGAUCCAGCCAUGCCGCGUGAGUGAAGAAGGCCUUCGGGUUGUAAAGCUCUUUCAGCCGGGAAGAAAACGCAUGGGUUAAUACCCUGUGUGGAUGACGGUACCGGAAUAAGAAGCACCGGCUAACUACGUGCCAGCAGCCGCGGUAAUACGUAGGGUGCGAGCGUUAAUCGGAAUUACUGGGCGUAAAGCGUGCGCAGGCGGUUUUGUAAGACAGGCGUGAAAUCCCCGGGCUUAACCUGGGAACUGCGUUUGUGACUGCAAGGCUAGAGUACGGCAGAGGGGGGUGGAAUUCCACGUGUAGCAGUGAAAUGCGUAGAGAUGUGGAGGAACACCAAUGGCGAAGGCAGCCCCCUGGGUCGAUACUGACGCUCAUGCACGAAAGCGUGGGUAGCAAACAGGAUUAGAUACCCUGGUAGUCCACGCCCUAAACGAUGUCAACUAGGUGUUGGGAGGGUAAAACCUUUUAGUACCGGAGCUAACGCGUGAAGUUGACCGCCUGGGGAGUACGGCCGCAAGGUUAAAACUCAAAGGAAUUGACGGGGACCCGCACAAGCGGUGGAUGAUGUGGAUUAAUUCGAUGCAACGCGAAAAACCUUACCUACCCUUGACAUGCCAAGAACUUUCCAGAGAUGGAUUGGUGCCCGAAAGGGAACUUGGACACAGGUGCUGCAUGGCUGUCGUCAGUUCGUGUCGUGAGAUGUUGGGUUAAGUCCCGCAACGAGCGCAACCCUUGUCGUUAAUUGCCAUCAUUUAGUUGGGCACUUUAACGAGACUGCCGGUGACAAACCGGAGGAAGGUGGGGAUGACGUCAAGUCCUCAUGGCCCUUAUGGGUAGGGCUUCACACGUCAUACAAUGGUCGGUACAAAGGGUCGCCAAGCCGCGAGGUGAGCCAAUCCCAGAAAGCCGAUCGUAGUCCGGAUCGCAGUCUGCAACUCGACUGCGUGAAGUCGGAAUCGCUAGUAAUCGUGGAUCAGAAUGUCACGGUGAAUACGUUCCCGGGUCUUGUACACACCGCCCGUCACACCAUGGGAGCGGGUUCCGCCAGAAGUAGGUAGCCUAACCGCAAGGAGGGCGCUUACCACGGCGGGGUUCGUGACUGGGGUGAAGUCGUAACAAGGUA